UGGGGAAUUUUGGACAAUGGGCGAAAGCCUGAUCCAGCAAUGCCGCGUGUGUGAGGAAGGCCUUCGGGUUGUAAAGCACUUUUGUCCGGAAAGAAAUCCUUGGCUCUAAUACAGUCGGGGGAUGACGGUACCGGAAGAAUAAGCACCGGCUAACUACGUGCCAGCAGCCGCGGUAAUACGUAGGGUGCAAGCGUUAAUCGGAAUUACUGGGCGUAAAGCGUGCGCAGGCGGUUUGCUAAGACCGAUGUGAAAUCCCCGGGCUCAACCUGGGAACUGCAUUGGUGACUGGCAGGCUAGAGUAUGGCAGAGGGGGGUAGAAUUCCACGUGUAGCAGUGAAAUGCGUAGAGAUGUGGAGGAAUACCGAUGGCGAAGGCAGCCCCCCGGGCCAAUACUGACGCUCAUGCACGAAAGCGUGGGGAGCAAACAGGAUUAGAUACCCUGGUAGUCCACGCCCUAAACGAUGUCAACUAGUUGUUGGGGACUUCAUUUUCCUUAGUAACGUAGCUAACGCGUGAAGUU
rnacentral:rRNA from 1 species